rnacentral:rRNA from 1 species
AUUGAACGCUGGCGGCAUGCCUUACACAUGCAAGUCGAACGGCAGCACGGGAGCAAUCCUGGUGGCGAGUGGCGAACGGGUGAGUAAUAUAUCGGAACGUGCCCAGUCGUGGGGGAUAACGCAGCGAAAGCUGUGCUAAUACCGCAUACGAUCUAAGGAUGAAAGCGGGGGAUCGCAAGACCUCGCGCGAUUGGAGCGGCCGAUACCAGAUUAGCUAGUUGGUGGGGUAAAGGCCCACCAAGGCGACGAUCUGUAGCUGGUCUGAGAGGAGGACAAGCCACACUGGAACUGAGACACGGUCCAGACUCCUACGGGAGGCAGAAGUGGGGAAUUUUGGACAAUGGGCGCAAGCCUGAUCCAGCAAUGCCGCGUGCAGGAUGAAGGCCUUCGGGUUGUAAACUGCUUUUGUACGGAACGAAACGGCCCUUUCUAAUACAGGGGGCUAAUGACGGUACCGUAAGAAUAAGCACCGGCUAACUACGUGCCAGCAGCCGCAGUAA